AGCAGCCGCGGUAAUUCCAGCUCCAAUAGCGUAUAUUAAAGUUGUUGCAGUUAAAAAGCUCGUAGUUGAAUUUCGGGAUUAGUGCGCUGGUCAUGCCUUUGGUAUGUACUGGUGUUACUGGUUUCUACCUUCUGAAGAACCGUUAUGUCAUUUAUUUGGUGUGGCGGGGAAUCAGGACUGUUACUUUGAAAAAAUUAGAGUGUUUAAAGCAGGCACGCGCUUGAAUACAUUAGCAUGGAAUAAUGAAAUAGGACGUUUGACCCUAUUUUGUUGGUUUCUAGGAUCGACGUAAUGAUUAAUAGGGAUAGUUGGGGGCAUUAGUAUUCAAUUGUCGGAGGUGAAAUUCGUGGAUUUAUUGAAGACUAACUACUGCGAAAGCAUUUGCCAAGGAUGUUUUCAUUAAUCAAGAACGAAAGUUAGGGGAUCGAAGACGAUCAGAUACCGUCGUAGUCUUAACCAUAAACUAUGCCGACUAGGGAUCGGAUGAUGUUAUUUUUAAUGACUCAUUCGGCGCCUUACG
rnacentral:rRNA from 1 species